CCGUGGUAACGUGGAGGGUUGAAAGUUCAAAUUUGUGUUCGGGCCUGAGCGGAUCGAGCGGUGUAAUGUUUGGCACCAGGAAGCGGAAAAGGAUUCCUGGAAUGGUGCAGAGAUUCUCUUUUUUGCAUGAUGUGCAGGAUACGGAGGUUACCUGCAAGAGAACAAAUAGUCUUGCUAAUAAAUGUACACCUUCAAUUGCAAAAUCAUGGAACCAAUGUGGAGAAGGUUUCCAGGAAGUUUCACCAGUGGAGGGUGGCAGGCCCAUGGGAGAAGAGCAAAAAGUAGUUCGCAAUCUUGCACCUGCACUUCAUUCUGUUGAAGGUACAGCAAAUACUGCCAGUUGGAGCUCUGAGGAAACUGCAGAAAUCACGUGGAGCUCCAGUGACAGUGAUUUGUCAGAUGGAGAGGUACUGAUGGAUAAUUCGAGAGUUUUAAAGGAAAGAAGAUCUGCCCUGAAAGGCCAAAGUACAGUGAACUCCUACCAUAAAUACAUCUGUAUGCUCAAUUCAUUAACAGACAAUCAGUCCAGUGAAGAGGAACCACCUGCUAUUGACUGGGACAGUAUUAGUGACAAUGAAGAUACGACUUCUGACAAAAUGGAGUGUUUAGUGGAUCCUGAUUUUACUGAUUCAGAUACUUCAUCUAAUAGUAAAGGGUGUAACAGAAACUGUGUAACUCAGCAGUCUGAAUCUUCAGUGACAGCAGAAGAUAUUGUGGAAUUUUCAUCUGAUAAUGAAACCAUAAAAGAAAGUGAGCUGAACUCAAAGCCCAUUCCGUCUCUUUCUGUACAACCAACUAUGUCUACUUGUGGAUCUGAACAUGGCAAGACCUCUGUCAGAUCAGCGAGCGAUUGGUUGAAAAGUGCACAAGCAUUUCUAAAGACACCUGAGAAGCAAAAGAGAACACAAUUCAAAACCCCAGAAGAUUCUACCAAAAAGAGGAAGAAAUUUGUAAGGGGGGGACUAGCAGAGAGGUUAAACAGACUACAAUGCAGAGAGAGGUCUGCCAUCAACUUUUGGAGGCAUCAGUCUCUAACUGAUUCCAAAACUCAUGCAGAUGGGAAAGCUGACAUUUUGAUGGUGAAAAUUUUGGAUUUGCAUGAAGAAUGUUCAAUGUUUGUAGCUUUGUGUCAGCCGUUGGUAGAAACCUCCACAGAGCAAGCUGUUGAAAAUGAUGGAUGCACCAGUAAAACCCCACUCAAGGUUUUAUUCACAAGAGAAACAGUGUCCUACCUUGGGAUCUGUGCCGGAGAUACUGUCCACAUCUUUCCACCAUGGCAAAAACUUGAUAUCCAGGAUGAAAAAGUUCCUGUUAUUUUGUGCACUUACUUUAGUCAGAAGAUACGUCCAAAAAAAAUUGCUGUAGCAGAAGUUAACUAUUGCUGUCCGGGAAAACCAAUGGUGUUCAGGAAAGUGCCAAUGUCUUUAGCUGUGAAAUUUAAUCUUAUUGAUUCAAGUCAAAAGCAUAAUUCAGCUGAUCAGGAUAUCACAAGAACGGCAGGAAAUGCUGAAAGUAUAGUACCGACCCCACAUGAAAAACUAAUAAAGAUGUUGGACUUUGAACAUCGUUUUACUACUAACAGUGUAUGUGACUCACUUCUUGAAAUAAUUGAAAGCCAGGGAGCAGCAGGGUGGGCAAAGCAACAUCUGAAAGUAGUUAUACAGAGAGUAUACUGUCUUCCUAUCAAAGAGGUUCUUCACAAUCAACUGACCAGAAGCAACCAACCAGAUAAUCUUCUAUUUUCAAAUGUAGGUCAACAAAAUGCAAGGUUAUGUUUUCUAGUACAAGACAUGUAUGGUUUAUUUAGUGAAAUUCACCACCAUACAUUCUGCUUGUUAGAAGAGGACUUGCAGGUGCAAAGCGCCUGCUGGGAAGGAAAGACAUGCUAUCUAACGGGAAUGAAGGUUCUACAGAGAACAACAAGAGGCAGGUCUUCAGGACUCUUCAGUCUGAUUGAUAGUCUCUGGCCUCCAUUGGUUCCUCCAAAAGUCCAUGGCCAAAGCCAAGGCAGCCAGGAGCACGUAGAUUUGUCCACUGACGUGCUUCUGCCCACUCCAAGUUUUUGCUAUGUACUUACCGCUCUUCCAGGGGAAGGAGGACUAGAUGUGCUUCAGAAUGAAAAUGUUUCUGACCUCUAUCGACCUUCAACACUGAACGAUUUAAAGCAUAUUUUUCAGCAUGUUCCUGAAAGACAUCGAUGUAGUUUCCGUGCAGAAGUCAUUUACAGAAGGCUUCAGGGACAAACUGCCAAUCACCAAAUAAGUAAGGACUUCUGGCUAUUUGUGACUGAUUCAACACUGCAGUCUGCAAAUCAGAAUUCUGGAAUACCCAGAAUCCUCUCAGUCUGUAUAACCUCACUCUGCGUACUGGGUACUGAAGUUAUAAAAUCACUGAAUGAUGAAACAACCAGCAACAUUUCCUUCAAGGAUGCUAUUGUCGAAAAAGACUCUAUUGUGUGCGCUGAGGGUACCGUACUUUCAGUCCAGAAAUCGGUGUUGCAAAGUGACAAAAAUCAGGAAAUUUCUCCGCUGACUGGAAACGUUAUACUUGAUGAACUCAGUGCUAGGACCAAAUUAAAUUCCUUGUGUACAGUGCAAGGGACUGUGAUCAGCGUUGAUGAGACUACUGCUUUUUCAUGGAUAGUUUGCAACAGAUGUGAAAAUGAAAAACUGGAAAAGAAGCAUGGAGAAGGUGAAUCACUUUACUGCCGUCAGUGUGCCCAGUCUGUGAUGACACCCCUUACAAAAAUGCAAUUGGAAGUGUUUCUGCGGUAUCCAGUCCUGCCUCACAGUACUGUAAAAGUCAAGCUCCUAGAACCAAGCAUUUCAUCUCUUCUGCUGCAUUCCUCUGGUGAUGAAGGGAAUCACACGGUGUAGAAGAAGCUCUUCGGGCAAUCGAGUCUGCACCGACACGCGAGAAACACCCGACCUACCUACCUAAUCCCAUUUACCAGCACUUGGCCCAUAGCCUUGAAUGUUAUGACAUGCCAAGUGCUCAUCCAGGGCUAUGAGAUAGAUGGUGUACUUGGCCAGGAACUGGGGCCUCUCAGCUGCUAUGUCCGCUCGUUAACAAAUCAACCAGUAAACUGGAUUGGUCUGGAAGAAAUCAGGCUGCUACAGGUGAUAGCCCAGCCUCAGCAAAAGUGAAAUUCUUGACCAUCAGCAAUUGUUGUAGCAGUGAUAGUUACAAACUGUAUUUUUGAAAUUUUAUAAUUGUGAAAUAAUUAUUGCAUUAAAUAUUCCUAAAUGAUGUGCUGUAAUUAAAAUAACUAUUUUGGA